UACGUAGGGGGCGAGCGUUGUCCGGAGUUACUGGGCGUAAAGGGUCCGCAGGCGGUCUCCUACGUUUGCUGUGACAGUGCCCGGCUUAACUGGGCAAGGAUAGCGAAAACGGGGUGACUUGAGGCGAGCAGAGGGAUGCGGAAUUCCGGGUGGAGCGGUGAAAUGCGUAGAGAUCCGGAGGAACACCAAUGGCGAAGGCAGCAUCCUGGGCUUGUCCUGACGCUACGGGACGAAAGCCAGGGGAG
rnacentral:rRNA from 1 species